AACGAACGCUGGCGGCAGGCUUAACACAUGCAAGUCGAGCGCACCGCAAGGUGAGCGGCAGACGGGUGAGUAACGCGUGGGAAUCUACCCAGUUCUGCGGAAUAACACAGGGAAACUUGUGCUAAUACCGCAUACGCCUCCGGGGAAAGAUUAUCGGAAUUGGAUGAGCCCGCGUUAGAUUAGCUAGUUGGUGGGGUAAAGGCCUACCAAGGCGACGAUCUAUAGCUGGUCUGAGAGGAUGAUCAGCCACACUGGGACUGAGACACGGCCCAGACUCCUACGGGAGGCAGCAGUGGGGAAUAUUGGACAAUGGGCGAAAGCCUGAUCCAGCCAUGCCGCGUGAGUGAUGAAGGCCUUAGGGUUGUAAAGCUCUUUCAGUGGGGAUGAUAAUGACAGUACCCACAGAAGAAGCCCCGGCUAACUUCGUGCCAGCAGCCG
rnacentral:rRNA from 1 species